UUUUACAGGUGUUGCACGACUGUCUUCAGCUCGUGUUGUGAAAUAUUUGGUUAAUUCCUUAAAUGGGCGUAACUCUUUUUUUUAUAAUAUUUAAUUUAUUUAAAUUUUUUUUAAAAAAAUGACUAGUUAUAAGUUAGUAAAACAAGAAUUAAGUCAAGUCACUGUGGCCCACAUAAAUUGGGCUGUUUCCAUGUGCUACACUAAAAAUUCCAAAAAUUAAUUCCAAAAUUGAGUAAAUUUUUAUUAAUUUUUUAAACAUUUUUAACGGAUUGUAAAUUGCAACUCAUUUACAUGAAGUUGGAACCACUAGUAAUCAUAAAU
rnacentral:rRNA from 1 species